rnacentral:tRNA from 1 species
GCCGAGGUCGGCUAACCAGGUAAGCCGCGAAGCUGAACCCUUCGUAUCCUUCGGGACAUCUGGGUUCAAAGCCGUAGCUUCGACAGCUUUCGGUUCAUACCGAGGUUUUGAAUAUCCCUGCCUCGGCG